ensembl:lncRNA
CAAAUGCACUGUGAUGGACAAUGUGUCUCUAAAUGAAACAAAAUAAAGUAGUGAGUUUAUUGUGAUGUAGAAACGUGUCAGUCAAUGUAUUUUUUUCUGUUUUGGGGCAAAACAGGUAUGUGGCAAUGAGGAAGAAGAUACAUCAGGCUUUGCACCCACAAUAUUUGAGCUGAUAAGAUGAAUUUAUUUAAAUAUACGUAUCUACUUGCCUACAGAUCUUAUGUGACCAAAUGUUCCUUUUAAGGGGAAGAAAAAACAAAUGAGCCAAUAACGGCUCUGAAUAUUGCCUGUAGCCUUAUCUUUACAUUAAACCUUUGUGCUGGCGGUGAGAAGACAAUGCUGGGCAUCAGUCCGAGUCGGCCGGUCUGUGAUUACUUUAACAAAUAGCAUUCACCAUUCAAGUCAACAGAAAGGUUUUCACUGACAGCUAGCAUGACAAAAGGUCAGCGGCAGGCUCAGCACUGCUAAUUAAGUCCAAUUGGUGAAUGUCAGAUCCACAAAGGGCAACGCUAAUCCCCAGCCCUCUGCUGUGUGUGUGUGUGUGUGUGUGUGUGUAAUGAGUAGAGGUGUUGGGAGAAUCCUCUGCACUAAGGCAGUAUGUACAUUCAGUGUACAUGUACUCCAAAAGCAAAGGGACGGUUAAGCACCGAAGCGAUCAGUGAGGAUCAGUUCAAAUAAAUUGUUUUUGUGACAUCAUCAUAUUUGCCAUCUGCAGCACUCUUUUCUACCUAAUUGUUUACAUGCCUCUACGGACAGAAAGAAAGGCCCAGAUAAUACACUUUUUUCAUUUGACAGUUGCAUUUCAAUUAUCCAUACCUAGCAUAAGAAAACCGUUGGCAGGGAUAAAAAUAGUUUUUGUUCUUAAUGUUUUAGCCAAAUUAUCAUUUAAAAGUAAAAAAGACUUAGAGCAAAAGCUCUAUAGAGCCAAUAUAGCUAUUUUACACCUUAUCUCUUCUCCUACUUGUUUCUUUAAUCAGUGAAUACAUAACCUUCAUAUAUAUCCGUGAAGUUCAAAAGAUAUUAGAAUCUGACCAAAGCACAAAGCCGCUGUGGAACUAUAAUCGAGUGCGUUUAUACAAUCUCCCGCGGUUUUGAAGCAGAAAUGCAGAUUGAGUAAUUUUCCAGUCUUCUCCCUCUCUUUUCACGGUCUCCAGGCGGCCGUGGGAGGAUAUGUGCAUCGGUGCAAUGUUUGAUUAGCACGUCUCUCCGGGGAUGUGUGUGUCUGCGACAGUGCGGCCACAAGUAGCUUGUAAUGAGCCCCAGCGGUGGCCCUUCAGUCUCCCUGCCUAUUGAUCAUUACCCCGCUGUCACACUUUCAUUUCCAACCAAAAACUACCUGUUGCAAUGAGAGGCGGGUCAGAUCUCCGGUUACUGGCCGUUCAUGUGACAUCAAAUACCUAGUGCCGCCUGAUGUGGUAAAGUCUGGGUUUGAUGAUGCAAGCGCCGGAGCAGCGGGGUACCGCUAACUAUUAAGAUGUCUAAAACUCAGAAACCAGUCUGAGGGUUGACACCAAACUAGUAUAAUGGGACAACACUGGCUUUCACGUUGAGAUUGCUCAUGGUGGACAACCCGUGACGUAUGAUCCGCCGGGGUUUAAUACAAAGGCGUCCAAUAACAACAUUGACAUGUACUUGAUGCCAGCGUACAAGGCAGCCUUUAACGUCUAUAGAUGAAGCAGUUUGUGUCUGGAUCUUUUGACCUUUUAUUUAAAACUCCAGAAACAGCAGGCAGAGUAGCGGUAAGACAAAGGGCGGGUGGGUUUACCGGGAGUUGGGCUGGCGGGUUAAACAGGAACAGGCAGAGUCGGCAACAGGUGAUCCGUCUUGAAAUAAGCGCUGGAGAGUCAGUGAGUGUCUGGGGUUUAAACACUGAGGUAGUGGGUUGGGUAGACAGGUGAGUGUGAUCGGGCUGACAAGGUGAAUGUGACUAGCAGGUGUACAGACUGACCUGAUUAGGUGGAGUGAGGGGGAUGUGGAGCUAAAGUGUGAUAAUAAAAAACACAUCAUACCCAAAAGUAAAUCCACAUCCACACCAUUAUUAAAUCGUUACAGCAAAGGAUAAAGUACGAGCAGCAACAAGCAUGAUAGAACUUUCGCUGCGGCCUCUUUACCAGUUUACAGCCUCGUGUUGCAAAGCUAACCGCCAAAGCUACCGAUGCGUAAUGUUAACGCCGCCGUUUCCCAACAACAACCAGGUGUUGCAACACGUUAACCAACAUACAUUGUGUAAUACCUUAGGAAAUUAAAUAGCAAAGAAACUAAAUUAUUUAAAAUAUUUAAAAUAAUAAGUAAUAAUGAUUACAAUGGUUACAUUAAAACGCUAUAUAAAAAAAGUGCUGUACGAAAAUGAAAUUGGGCUACAGUGAAAUACAUUUAAACAGUGUGAACAUGUGACUCUCCGGAGCGUCAGUGUCUUCGGGCAUUAACCGAAAACCAAUAAGCAUUGCAGAGUACUAUAAAUGACAAGUAGCGCGCAAGCCGGAAAAGUCAAUUGAUUGAAAAUGAAACAUAUAAAACCAAGCCAAAUUUCAGUAUAUGAUAUUUAUUUUUUGUUUGAUGGAUUUGGACAAUUUGUGGACCAUGGAAACAGGAAGCGUCAUUGUUAUCUAGGUAAGAGUUCUCUGGACCAAUUUCCUUAACCCUGAAAAAUAAAAAGUGACGAGUUGGAGAAUUUAAAUCUUGCGAUCACAUUAGGAACAAGAAUAACAGCAAAUUGGCUCCAAUAUAUAACUCGUCGUUACUGCUUGUCAUACUGUACUACAACUGCACAGAAUCUCUUGUUUUCUGUUGUUUCUCUAUUGGAGAAGAGAUGUCUAUGGCUGAAAUCUUUUUUUCUGUUUUGUUGAUUUUAUUUUGUCCUGUUUGUACUUUGAGUUACUACCAUUGAUGGUUAUUAUCUUCAUGUGAUUCAUAUUUGUCAUGUGAGGUUUCUUUGUUUUGGCCUUUUUCCUGGUUAACAAAAACUCAGACAAAGUAACAGUUAAAUAUCAACUUAUUCCACAAGAAUCCUGUAUUUUUCCAAUACAGGAUAUGUCUUUCUGUUGGAUGAUGAUUUAUUGGUCACUGUAAUCGUUCUUUCUGCUCAUACCACACUUGAGAAAAUAUCUUCAUGCCAUGAUCUAAAUCCAAAGAGAUGGUGAAAAAUAUCGACCUUCCAUAUUCCACGCAAAGAGGGCCUAAGCUGUUGUCAAGUAAUGGAAACGUUGAAGUGCCCUCCGAUCCACAUGCUAAAUUACAUCUUUUGCAGCCAUUGCCAGUGGAUUGUGCUGUUAUUUACUGUUGUUUGAUUGGUUUUCUUCUUGGAGAGGAAGGGGCCGGGGUCCUCUGGAUACGAUGAAGGUGGGGAAACUGGAGGAUAAUGAAACGACCACCAACCCCGAUGGACAAUCCCGCCCACCUCAUACAGGACGCCCUGCCUGGUUCGUGCAGCCCCCCGGUGUGAGAAGAAAAGGUAUCACAGGUCCUUUCUUCCUGCUGCUGUCUAUCUUUGCUCCUAGACCAACAAAUCUGUGGAAUACUGCAAUAAAUACUUAAUAUAUAAAUAAGUAUAAAUAUUUAAUUUUAGUUACUGUUUAAAAUCAUAUUAUCAUUUUUUUUUUAUAUUUUCUUUUAUUACUGCUAUUUCUAUCUGUUUUGAUCUGUUUUCUACCACGUCUCUGUGUGCUCUUUAUCUUUGCUGCCAUGAUCCUGUACAUCUCUCCGCUGCGGGACAAAUAAAGGCUUAUCGUAUAUCUUGUCCCACCAGUGUUGUGAGUAAAGGCUUCUCUCUGUUCGGGCUCUGGAGCGGUGGGAUGAGCUGCUGUCAGGAGUAAAGACAGCGCAGUCAUAUGCCAAAUCAGGCUACAGCUUACUACUAUACAAUAUAUUUUGCUCAUGUUUGAUUUCUAAAGGGCUUUCUGAACAGCUCUUAAGAAUUUGAGGAUGGCCUACCAAUUUUUGAUGAAUGCUGAAGCUAUUCAGUGAACUCAUUAACAAGGCCGUAUGAAAAAUUGCAUUAAGUGCAAUAAUAACUCAUACACGGGUGAUUUAAAAGUCAUGAAAACACGUUGAGCUUCAUUCUAGACCCUGGAAAAGGUACAAAAACUCAAACCUCUCAACUAACUGUUGAGCUUUCAGAUAGGAUCAACAAUAUUGGAAUGAAAAAAAUGUAAAAAAUCGUAUGGUAUAUUCAUGAGACAUCUUAAUAUGAUUAUGAGUUAGAACCUGGUCAAUAAAUUAUUCGUUCAUAAACCAGUGAGGAUACUUCAGAAAGCGUUGUAUUUCUGAAUACAUCCAUUAAAACACACUUUAUAGAGUUAUUAUAUCAAGUGCUGGGGAACAAAUACUUUUUUCAAUUGUGAUUAAUUGCAUGAUUAUUUGUGAUUAAUGCGAUGAAUUGCAUUGUUAUGUGCAAAAUUCAAUUACAAGUGCGCACUUUCAUUUAUGCAAACACUUAGAAACAAAAGGUGCUUUUUAACAGCAUAAGUCCCUGUACACGCUAGAAAUUAAAGUAUUUCUUUAAGACUGCUGCCUUUCUCAUUUUUCUGCACCCUGCUGCAGCAGUCUUAGGCCCGCCUCCCAAUGCUCUCAUUGGUUGAGAGGUGUGAUGGUGCCCCUCCCAAGCCAAUACUGAUCAACACCCCAUUCAUCUGAUCCAAGGAUUGUCUGUAUGUGCAUUCCGAGCCAGUCAGCAACUGACUUUCAGAGUAACGUUCAUUUUUAAAAAUGCGUGAGAUGAAUAAUUAAUGCAUUUUUGUUCAUGUGCUCAUGAAUAGUUUUAAUUUCUACGUUUCAAAAAAUGAUUUCCAUAGCUUCAGUAUUAUAAUUCAAUAAUUGAUUAAUUCAUAAUCAUGACAUAUUGUCAUCAAAGGCUUUUAUAUACAGCCGCAGUAGGUUUUUGUACAACCAGCCUUGUGGUAAAAACGUGUAGCACACGCACACAACAUAGGAGCAGCACAAUAAUAAAAUACCACCAAACACAUCAAUACAAAAGUCUACACACCAAAUGCACAAAGUAUUCAGCCGAGACCUAGACCAGUGCACACAUAUUUACACAAAAAUAUAGACACAUCCAGUUGCUGCAGCACAAAGAUACACACACACAUAAAUGCACCUAAUUUCCAUGACAAUUAAAGCGGCGGUGUUGGAUGUAGGAGCGUAUUUGCACAGCAGGAGGCUAAUGUGGAUCCCUGCAUGCUAGCCAGGUGGCCCAGUCCUCCUACUCAGCCACCAACGCUUUGGGUUAGGGAGGGAGAAAAUGAGGGGCUUAUUGUCGGGAUAAGCAUGUAGAACAUCUGAAGACAAUUCUCUUUUAUUGUUCUAAAGUUGAUGAUGUAUUUCACAGUGAAAUUGAACUGUCAGGGGAACAUUAUCACAACAGUUGGGUCUGCGUUUAGUGAUAAAUGUACAGCCGUAGGUUGAUACGUUAUGGAAAUCUAUAAAUAUUGAGACGCUGCACAUCUGCUAAAGAAAUAGUUUGAAUGGAAUGUUGCCCCUGUAUUAGCAUCUGUGUUUAGUCCAAGGGAUUUGAGCACUAGAAUGAAGCACUUUGAAUUGCCUUAUUUGUUGAAAUGUGCUAUACAAAUAAAAUUGCCUUGCCUAGAGUGACAAGAGGCCCUUCUCCACUGCAAUCUCUCCUGCCAAGAUUCCAAUUCAAGUCAUUAGGCCGUAAUGUUGUUAUCAGAACAAAUAUGUUUAUGGAUGAGAUUUGGAAGUGAUUCCAGUGGGCUAUGUGCCGAGGCUUGCUGCUGUCCAUGACCUGCCGUUUCACUCUGUCUCCGAUCAUUCAGUCUUCCUAGAUGCAUCAUUGGCCACUGAGCUCAUAGAGGACAGUGAAGUGGAACCAAGAUUCCUUCAGAGCUGACUGAAAAUCCUCCCUCCAUCUCAUCCUACCAAACUUUAGCAUUCCAGCAGAGUAGCAGACCGCACUUUAUCUGCUGUGCUCCUAGGUCAACCAUGGCCGCUAUCAGGAAGUGGACCCAAUGCACUUAUCCCUUAUAAAAUGUAAUAAAGGCCACACAUUCUAUCACCGUCGGUUUAAAAUGGCCGGUGUGGUAAAUCCAAAGUAUCCUAAAGACGUUUGUGAUUAAGUAUUUACUACUAACUACUAAUACAGUAGGAAAAGAAUACAUAAAUCAAAACAAUUGGGAAGUACAGACAGAAGUCCCACAUUUUGGGUUCAUUUGUCAUGACUCUAUACAUCAAACAUAGGUAGUGAACAUUUUGUGUUUUAUGUCAAGUCAACCCAGGGGACAGGUUCAUUUCUCAUUGUAAAUUCAAAAAGAUGUUUGCUCCUGUAAGAGGUCCGGUCCUGUUUCAGGUUUCAUCAUAUUAUCUAACCACUAACCACUAACUUUUUUUGUUAGGAUUCUUGAUAUUGGACGUAUCAAAAUAAGAAUCUCCAAAAAUCACCUUUGGGCAUAAAAUAAACUAAAAUCUUUUAGGUUCACUACAAAGUCCUUGAUCUGAAACUGCAGAAGGGCAUCAAGCAGCGACCAGAUAUAGAUAGACAGAUUGUGAUUUGCCUUUGCAAAUGCUUAGAAGCUGCAGUUGGACCUCCGGCCACUCCGCCUGUCCCCACUGGGAGACAAUACCGGUGGGCAAAGGCCAUAUUGCUAGGUGUAAAGAGAAAGGGAGGCACUGGGAAACCAGAAUCAUGGCCGUUCAGGGCAGACUGUCAAACCUUAUUUCAACAAUAUUACCAUAUUACUGGAUCUCAGUAAUGGAAUUUGUCCAGAAUUGACAACUCGAAUAUGGCUCAGUAGUAGAGUAGGGUCGUCCUUUUAUCAAAGGGUCAGAGCUCAAUCAGGGGAUUGGUUGUGUGAUCCCCGGGAAAAACAAAUCCCCAUUUGUUCCAGAAUGCUGUGCUGGCGGUGUGUGAAUGGUAGUUCAUCACUCAAGGUCCAUUUGGGGACUCCUUGUUUCUUCGAUGGCCAACAAAAACGUCUUUUAGGAUUUUGUUUUUAACCUUGAUAGACGGGAAGCUAAUGUCUCUCCAAAAGAGCUUGGUUCCACUGGAUAGAUUUUUGCUCCCGCUCCCUCUCUCUAAAUUUGCAACAAUUUCAGCAUAACGCCGUCAUGAUUAUUCCCAACAAUGACCCAGCUAGUGCUCUGGUGCUCACCCUGGCCGUGUGCAUUCCCUGCUGUCAGUCUAUCCUGAAGGGUCCUCCAGCCUGGACUACAGCUGGUCUAUUCUUAGCACCCAUCCAUACUUAAGUUGGAUGGCAAUAUGAAAAAGAAUGAAUCAACCUAAAAGUCAAUUCAGUUUCCACUUAAUUGCAUUAUUCUAUUGAUUGGAGGCUAAUUGUCUUACAUCCUUAAUUUGUUCAGCUUCUAUUAAUGACAUUUUUCUUUUUGGUAUGUCAUACGCUCUAGUGGCUCGUCUCAGCUCAAGAGACUGCAUGUUGCCGUUGAGCCUGCGUUUCUGAAUAUGCAGUGAUCUAAUGAACUUCCCGGUAUACGACCCUAAAACCUCCAUGGUUCAUUUCCGGCUCCCAUUGUCACUUUAGAGGUAAAUUUCAGACGUACAACUACACGUUCGCUAUAACUGAAGCUGACUGAAUCUACAUUGUUGCAGCCCCAAGGAAUUGUGGUGCCGAAUGAUCUACUUUCCUUUUCGAAAAGGGAAGUCCAGUGUUUCCUAUGCUAAAGGAUGCUAAUAAAGGAGGCAUUGAAGCACCUGUUCCAUGUAUAGAAUUGAAACAGCUCUUAUCACCGUGGCUUUCACUGAGUUAGAAACCUUCCUGACCGAAAAGGACUAUUUGACCCCAGAACUGCUCUCCCUUCCAAGUCUCUCGCCUCCCCCUCUCCACACACUAUAAAUAAUGCAGAGCGGGGCGAUCCCUGGUGUUGUGAAGUGCUUGUUAAUGGCCUCGCUAAUUGCAAUAAACAGGAGUGGUGUUUCAGCGCUCUAACAGGCACAAUACUCCUAAUUAGAAUGGCUGGGCCUGAUGGGACAGUGGGAAAAUAGGGGAAGAAGGAGCGAGACAAAGAGUGAAAGAAAGAGAGGGCAGAAUGAUAAGAGCAAAAACGGGGAGGUCAAACUGAAAAAUGCCAAAGUGCUAAAACGGAGGGAGGAUGUUUUUAAAGAAAGACGCUUACCAAAAAGAGGGGAGGAGGUGUUGGGUUGAGGCAAGAGGGUAGCGCCAAAUGUAAGAGCCAAGUAGGAUAGAGCAAGAAAGAAGGAAAAGGUCACAUAAUAUCUGAUCAGAGAUCUGAAUGUAGGGCGAGAGAAGGUGGAAGACAAGAAGACAAAGAGGUCUUCAUCCUUUCGUCGACUGAUCACAAGCCCUGUUUGGACUGAAACUGCUAAUGCGAACACACAAUCAUAAUGGCCAUAUCAGUUUUCAAAUCAUGCAUUCAAUGUACACUUAAAUGAUCAAAGUAAAGCACCCUGAAGUAAAGAGUUUGAUACAUAUCAUUUCAAAUCCCAUAAUUAAUAACAUUUGUGGUUGCUAUAAUUUUCAGCAAUAGCCUUUUGAUGGAUACCAUUUUGGACUAAUUUUGCCAUUCCCGUGGAUCAUUUAGACACAGGCGUGCCAUAGUAAACAAUACAGCACGUAUUUCAACUAGGGGUGUCAACAUUACAUUACUAUGCGAUUAAUGUGGCCGAGAUUAAUGUGAUAAAAUAUUUUAACCCAGCUUUGUGUACUUCUGCUCUUCCGGAAGUAAACAAAGUUUACCCCGGAAACAAAAUGCCUCUGGCAGUAAGUAAGACAAACAGAGGUGCGACAUGGAGCGGAGAACUGUGCAGAGGAAUUCCUCCAUGUGUCAAACAAAAAGGGGGGUGAGUGGCAAACGGACCACUUUACAGACCGCUAGGCUAAGCUAGCUGCUAGGCUACUUCCAUCUCAAUAUCUACCCUGCAGAGGACAACCACUGGGUUAAAAAAAAACGAUCAAUUGCGAUUAAUGUAUUUCAAAAUGUGCUAUAAAUGUUACAUUUUUUUAAUUUAUUGCCAGCCCUAAAUACAACGUUACAGGUGGUAAUUUGAGGUAAUUAAUUGAAUGCUUCUUCAAUAUCGGCACAAAGCCAUAUUUGAGCUGUAUUAGUCUUGGUUUGUCUAAAACAGGGGUCUCAAACUCAAAUCAGCUGCGGGCCAGAUGCCGUCCACUUCGACCGCCCGCGUGCCAGACCACUACGGUCGAGGGGGGGUGGCGACGCUGACGGUCCGACCCGAGAAUAAUAUGGUUUGCUGACUCAGAUACGCAAUAGUUAGUUUGGUUGGAAUUCAACCAGUCAAUCAAACUUAAUUGAACUUGAAUAUUUGUGUAGGGAAGGAUUUGUAUCCAAGAAUGCGCACAAACUCAGUAUCUCAGAUUGGAGAGUCAAACAUAUUGUUACGGUGUGGGGUAUUUUCCUGUUUUAUUUUGCAGUUUUGCAGUUUCAUGUCCCCGGGUUGACUUCACUUCCUGCCCUGGUGUGAUUUCCCCUGUGAGUGUGAUCUGCCGUGUCCCUGAUUGUUUCCUGCUGUGUCCCAGUGUAUUUCAACCGUGUGUCUCCUUGUCGGUUCAUUGUCUUGUCUUUGGUGAUGUUACUGUAAAUUAUACAUCAUGUAGCUUUACCCUGCAACCUUAGUUUAUUAUUGAUUUCAAGUGUUUUUCUGUCUGGAAAACCACAGGUCUGCGUUUGAGUCGUGAUUCCCGGCUGACGAAUGUGACACAUGUGAAACGUUAGAACUUUAAUGUACACUGCGUGGUCACACAUGCUCAUACGUGGACCAAAGAACAGCCAAACACUUUCUCCACUAAUGAUGGCGUCCUGUGUUUGAUGCAGUACGGAGCGGAACCAUUGUGUGGUUUAUUGGCUGAGCAUUUGACACUUUGAUGUCUGCAGGGUCCUUAUGAUUCAUCUAUAUUGUAUUCAAUUUAAAAAUGACAAUGUCCACAGCUUUUUGGUAUUUGGAGUUA